ensembl:lncRNA
CGGGAUGACAUCAUUGGCCUGCCGCCCAAUUCCCACUGUUCACAAUAGGGUCACUGUUGCCUUCUCCACGGUGGCACAACGGCCGAGAGAGGAAGAGAGACGGAGGGAGCAGGACAGACAGAGACAGAGAGCGAGAGAGAGGAAAGGGGGGGGAAUAAAAAGCCACGUUAAGACCUAAAGGCCUGCGCUUUAUUCACCAGAACACACAAACGUCUUCAGACUGACCAGCGCUCCUCAUUCCCUCCGGACCGAUUUGGAGGGUUGAAGACAUCGAGCGGCGUUUGAGUGAAUGCCGCGGCAGAUCUAUGCGCAGUUUUAUCUGGACAAUUGAGUCUGUCGCUCUGAUCUGCUUUCUCGUCAGGGGGGAAAUCGCUCCGCCGACCCCCGUCCAUCUCACUCGCCGCGCUUGUUGUUGUGACGGCGCUUCCAGCGCCCGCGGCUUUGCGCGAGACGACAAAUGGAAAAGUAACUACAAUGGAAUAAAGUCUUCAGACGAAACACAGUUUGGAAUGAAAAGAUUACAGCUCCGCUUUUGAAACACAAAAUGUGUCAAAGACAAAUUCACGACCCCUUUUUUUAUAUCCCUAACUACAGAGUGGUUUAAUGAAAUGUGACCGCCUGUCUUUCAGAAGCUUCGUCCAACUUAGGUAAACCCUGACCACAAGGGCUGGCAACUCGGUCAUUCUCCCAACCACUAAGCCAUUGUGGUGCCACAGGCCAUCUUGUCGAAAUGAAACCGUUUGCCCACAGCCACCGACCACAACAGAUGUUCCACUCUGCUCGGCAUGUGUGUUCUGUUGAGUCUAGAGCCAAGAUGCUUUCAUGGACUGGCACUAGGUAAUAAAAACAAAGGGAGGGAAAUUCUACGACGGCGUCUUCAUCGGCCUGCGAAAGGAUUCAGCCCGAGGUGGCCCCGUUUAAACCCGUUAAAACCGCUUUGAGAUGUCCCGCCUCCCGGGGGGCUGAAUGCGGUCAAAUAAUCGCAUCGGGUCGCCCCGACGCGAUGGACCGAUCGGUGUCGCGAUCCCCGAGCGAGCCCCGCCGCCCCCUAACCCCAAUCAAGCAUGUCGACAAGACGGGCAGCGCUUGCCCCCCCCCGCCUGCCCUUUGGCCCCUCUGGUAUGUUUGUGGAACACGCAGGAGGGCAAGACGGUGACGGCCUGCCGAGAUGCCGGGAGGACUGGGAAGGCUUCGGGAAAUGUCUCGCCCGCGUGUGAGCGCGCACUGCCGCCC